GAUGAAGAACGUAGUGAAAUGCGAUAAGUAAUGUGAAUUGCAGAAUUCAGUGAAUCAUCGAAUCUUUGAACGCACCUUGCGCUCCUUGGUAUUCCGAGGAGCAUGCCUGUUUGAGUGUCAUUAAAUUCUCAACCAUUAUCAACUUUUGCUGAUAAUGGCUUGGAUGUGGGGGUCUAUUUUGCUGGCUUCUCAGAUAGCCAGCUCCCCUUAAAUGCAUUAGCCGGUGCCCCGCGUGGACUGUCUAUUGGUGUGAUAAUUAUCUACGCUAUAGACAUCUGCAAUCAUAUGGGUUUGCGCUGCUUCUAACAGUCUGUUGAUUCAGACAAUACAUGACAAUUUGACCUCAAAUCAGGUAGGACUACCCGCUGAACUUAAGCAUAUCAAUAAGCGGAGGA
rnacentral:misc_RNA from 1 species